UCAAACACAGAGAACGUCUGAUGCCCACCUCAACUUGUACCAGAAAAACAAGCACCUGAAAAGGUCUGCCUUUGACCUCUACAGGAAUCUUGCUGGGCUAUUGUGGUAGACCAAAGAACAAAAA